rnacentral:siRNA from 1 species
GAAAGCGCAAGAGUGUAGCUCGGA